CGCGACCUUCCAGUGUCAAUGGAGUAGCCGCUGCAGGUCGCCACAAAUCGAGAGCUUGCAGCCUCCACGGAGUCUCUGCUGCACCGGGAGCGCACCCCAAAAUCGUGACUUUGCGGCCUCCAGCAAGUCCGCUCAAGGAGCUCGCGCCAACAAUACGUUGGCUUCAGGGACUCGAGCUCAUGGGAGGAAGAGAAGGGGCACACACAGAGCGACUGCAGUGACCAGUCGAGCAAGAACUGAUGUUGCUUCAGGUCCUUUAUUGAAGCUCUCGCUGAGUUGUGUGCUUCGCAUUCCCAAUGUAAACACAUCCUUCAUGUAGCAUGUGUAUCCAAGAUUGGAAGUUCCGCCAACAACUUCUCCAGAAAAUACAUGUUCUGCCUUAGGUGCAAUGCCAGCGUGAUCUGCUGCGUCUAUGUCCAUGGCAUCCAAUGGACAAAUUUUCCGCUGAGAUGGGAUCAAGUGGAUCAUAUCCGGCCGAUAAAAGAUAUGAUUGUGCUCUGCCACAAAGUCAUGCACUUGAUAUUUGUUAGUUUCCCUGUUCAAAAUAAUUCUCAUCCGUGCAUUACAUCCUGUUCUUGUUUCAGCACGCGAAGACUUGUAUUGACCCUCGCGUUUAUCUCUUGAUCGAUGACCUUCUUUUCCACAUAAAAAUCUUG